rnacentral:lncRNA from 1 species
AUGUGGCCAAGACCAAAGGGCAAGGGCUGUGCCUGGGGAGGAGGGGGCUGGGCCAGGCUUCCUGGAGGUGCUCUGCUCAGGUAUCUGCACUUUACCCCGAAGGCUGAGGGCGGCCCAGGAAGGAGGAUGGCUCAGUGGAGAGCCUGGACAGAAUGGCUUUUCGGAAAGACGAGCCCGGCAGCCACAUGGGACAAGGACACAUCCAGACUGGAGGCUGGAGUCCCAGUACAGAGCGAGGUCUCACUAAAGUUGCUAAGUUGUUCAGGCUGGGCUCAAACUUUCCAUCCUCCUGCCUCAACCUCCCAGACUGGGAUCAUGGACAUCACCAUCACACCCGGCUCUGAGGUGGUGACUCCAAAGCCAAGACUGGAAUGAAGGGAAGGAGCUGCCAUCUAAGGGACAACCCUGGAUCUCCCAGUAGGGCAGGACCCGCCCCACAGAGGCUGCUCCCAGAGCCCUGCUCCAGCUCCCAUGGCAACACACAGCUCGCUGACUCUCCACUCCUGAGCUCAUCUUGUCUGUAGGGAAAAUUCUUUGUCACAGGGCACCUGUCCCCUGGCCCUCAGCCUGAGGUUCCUAGUGGGUCCUGAGUGGCCCCUGGGACCUGGGCCUGCAGGGUCUCCCUGGGUGCUUCUGGGCCAGCUCGGUGCCUGGGGGCUGAGAGCGAGGGGGGAUCUGGGUUUGCUCGGUGGUUAGGGCAGAGGGAAGGGCACUGGCCGAAGACUGAGAGGGUGAUAAGAGAACAGCUGCUUCAUCCCAUCCGUGUGGCCAGCUUGACUUUCUGAACUUUCCUCCACCCUCUUAGAAUUUCCUCGAAAGAACUAAGGCUGUGUCUACUUUUUAUUUUUGUGGGUAAUGUGUUUUGGAAUGAAACCAACAGUUUCGCUUUCAGUUAGUGACACAGUGGCACUGCCAUUGUGACCGUGGCGUUACCUUGUGGCACAGGACGAGGACUGUGUGAGGGAAAGUUUCCAAGGCCAAUGUAGACAUCAUCGUAGUGGUGGGGUGAGGGCAGCUCUGCAGGAGUGGGUUAGGGCCCUGCUGGGCCUUUGUGAAAACUUAGCAGAAACAACUAUCAUUAGCCUUUUUUUUUUCUGUUUUUCUUUUUUUGGCUUUUUGAGACAAGGUCUUGCUAUGUAGCUCAGGUUAGCCUCAAACUCAUGGUGAUCCUCCUACCUCAGCCUCCCGAGUGCCAGGAUUGCAGGCAUACCCCACACCUGGCAAGUGUUUCUUUUUUUGGUACCAGGGAUCGAACUCUGGUCCUUGCGCUUGCGCAGCAGGCAGGGAAACCACUGAGCUAAAUCCCUGGCCCCUGGCAAGUGUUUCUUUUGAUUCUUGUUGCUUUGGGGAAACAGGGAUGGGAUGGAACCUGUGGACUUACACGUGUGCUAGGCAAGCGCCGCCCCUGAGCUGCAGCUGCUGCCCUCUCCCUUCUUCCCUGAUCCACGGCCAUGCGAGCCUCAGCAACUCCAGCAAAGUACUCUGAGGCAGGAAGGCGAGCAACUAAGCCUUCUCUUAAAUUUGGAAACGCAACCAGGAAAAAAACGUUCAAGCAGAGAAUAUAGAUUAGUCAAGGCUCUAUUUUUGGCAUGUGGAAGACAGUUGUUAGUGUGGACUGUUCUGGAAGGGUUUGGUUGGCUGGGGCUGGGCUGAGUACUAUCUUUCAUGCCCCAAAGACUGUUAGGUCUGAGCCCGGCUGUAGCUUUAAGAAAUCUAACUCCAACUUCUCCAGAAUAGAAAUCGCUCAAGUAUUUUUUUUGAAAUAAGGAAGUAGAUGUGGUCCUAUAUCGCCCGGCUGGUUCUAUAUAUUGAGACAAGAGUGUGAAGUAUUGUUUUACCUUCUCUUCUCAUAAAGCUAAAGAAUAAGCCAUAGAGUAUAUUGCUAUGCAUUUGUCUUGAUGUACACGGAAGCAAAUUUGAGAAUUCACCUAUGUGUUUUCAUUUAAAUUUGGUGGAGGGGGGUGGUGCGAGGUUUAGAUGGAUGUGAAUGGCACACACUUGUCUUCCCAGCACUUGGGAGGCCGAGGCAGGGGGAUCCUGCAAGUUCUAGGCCAGCCUGGGCUGCAUAGUGAGUUCAAGGCCAGCCUGGACUACGUAGGGAGACCCAGUCUUAAAAAAAAAGGGCCAAGGAUUUAGCUCAGUGGUUUCACUGCCUGCUGCGCAAGCGCAAGGACCAGAGUUCGAUCCCCGGUACCAAAAAAAAAAGCCGAGCCUGGCACAGUGGUACACCCCUGUAAUCCCAGCACUCAAGGAGGUUGAGGCAGGUAGUUCACAAGUUAGAGCCCAGUCUGGGCCAUUUAGCUACUUAGUGCACUGAGGCUGGGGUCUCAAAACGGGGAGGUGGGGGAGGCUGGGAUGUAGCUCAGGGCGAAGACUCUAGUUUCAAUCCCCAGUACUUAAAAAAUCAUACAUGUGGGCCGGGGAUUUAGCUCAGUGGUUUCGUCGCCUGCUGCGCAAGCGCAAGGACCAGAGUUCGAUCUCCGGUACCAAAAAGUAAUAAUAAUAAUAAUAAUAAUACAUGUGAAUUCAUGAGCUAAAGAAAGUAAGUGAUCCUUAAUUAUAUACCUGGACCAGAACACCAGCAAGAGACAACACAGGCUGUCUUGAUGUGCGCUUUGAUUGCCUAUGGACCCAUUCUGGAAGUGUGACAGGAAGGAGAAAAUAAAGACAAACAAAAAGCAAAAAUAAAACAAGCCUAGAACUGGCUUCAGCUGUUUCUGUGUUCCAGGGAGGGGAAGGCCUCAUCUGGGACAAACUGUGACUUCCUGCUGGGCCUUUGAGGCUCACUCACGUCAGGAGGUUUGAUGAAAGGAGAUUGUCUGGGUCCUGGGAGACUUGGAAAGUUGGAAGUGGAAGCAGGAGAAGCAGAGAAGACCAAAUUGAAGUCUGGGAUUGGAGGAGGCUCGGAGCUGGCUUUGCCAAGGAGGGAGAAGCCUGUGUGCUAGGUGUGGAGAUCACUGACCUGCAGGUUCACUUUCUCCUGGGGAGGCUGGAGGAAUCUUCCGAGUGUGUGCUUCCCUCCUGGAGCGCUCCAGAAAGACACCAGCACACGGAGAGAUGGCAGUGAGCUGAGUCCGUGAUCCGUGCUCCAAAGUGGGCAGCACUGCUGAUACCAACCUGUCAGGUUCAGGGGUACCCGGGUGAUGCUGGGUAUAUGGAGAGUUCAGAGGUAAGUGCUCCCUGGUCUAUUUUCUGAGCAUGUGAAGAACUGAUGUUGUAUCUUUUUUUUUUUUUUUUUGGUACCAGGGAUCGAACUCGGGCCCUUGCACUUGUGUAGCAGGCGGCGAAACCACUGAGCUAAAUCCCCGGCCCCUAUCUUUUUUUUUUUUUUUUGAGACAGGGUCUCCCUGUGUAGUUCAGGCUGGCCUUAGACUAAGUAUGCAGCCCGAUGUUGUGGGUUGUGUCUACAAGUUCCUCCAAAGCCUUGUGCAUUCAUAGGUGAGGCUUUUUGGAGGUGGCUGGAUCUAGAGUGUGUGAUGCUGGGAUCAAGGGUGUGUGGUACUAAAUUAGCCCACUGAUUGGUUUGGCAUAGUUCUAGGUAGGAGGAAGGGUCCCCCACCCCUGGUGUGAGCGCUACCCACUCUAAGGGUAAGGAUGUAAUAUAAGGGACAGAAAGAGGGCCAUUGCUUGUCACUUGCUGCUGCUUCACUGCUUCACUGCUUUGCUGCCCGCCAUGAACUGUUUCUCCUCUGUGAGAUCUCUCUGCCAUGGCCCUCUGCCUUGAAGGCAGCCAAACCUCUACAAACUGUGAGCCAAAUAAACCUUUCCUCCUUUAACUUUGGGUGUUGGGUAUUUUGUCUCAUAAUGAGAAAAGUAACUAAGACACUUAGGCUGGCCUCAAACUCAUGGCGAUCCUCCUGUCUCAGCCUUCUGAGUGCUUGGGAUGAUAGGCCUGUGCCACCGUCCCCAGUUGUGAUUCGUAGAUUAUGUAGGUGAGUUACUUUUUCCUAUACUCCCACCCUUUUAAAUUAUUUUUUAUUUUGAGACAGGGUUUUUCCAGUCACUGAAUGACUAGGCUCAGGGCUCAAACUUUGAUCCUCCUGCCUCAGCCUCCCAGAGGGCCAGGUUUACAGAAAUGCAGCACCAUGCCUGGUUUAAAAGUGUAUUUUUAAAUUUCUGAGUACUUUAAGGUUUUCCCUUGAUUUCUAAUUUAAUUCCUUUACAGCCAGAUAAAAAAUUUUUACGAUUUAAAUUCUUUUAAAUUUGUUAAGAUUUGUUUUAUGACCUAGAAUAUGGCUUGAGUUGAACAUUCUAUGUGCACUUGAAAAUAAUACUCAUUCUGUUUUAUUGGGUGAUUACAUAAAUGUUGACAUGAUCCAGUUGGUUGAUAUGUUGUUUACUCCUACCUUUAUGGUGAUUUUCUGCCUCUUUAUUAUACUAAUUACUGAGAGGUACACCAAAGUCUCCAACUGUAGUUAUAGAUUUUUCCAUUUCUUCUUUUACUUCUAUCAGUUUUUGCUGUAUUUGUUGCUAUUGUUUUGUUUUUUGUUUGCUUGUUUUUGUUUUGUUUUGAGACAGAGCCUCACUUUAUAGUUCAAGCUGGCCUUGAAUUCACUAUGUAGCUCAAGCUGGCCUUAAACUUGGAGUGAUCCUCCUGCCUCAGCCUCCUGAGUGCUGGGACUACAGGUAGGUGCCACUACAACUAGCUGUUUUUGUUUAGUUUUGUUUUUUGGGACAGGAUCUUGGUACGUAGUUCAGGAUAACCCCAAACUCACUGUAAUCCUCCUGCCUUAGUCCCCUGAGUGCUGGGAUUUCACUCCUUGUUUGCUGUGUAUAUUUGAAGCUUUGUUGUUA